rnacentral:rRNA from 1 species
UACGGAGGGUGCAAGCGUUAUCCGGAUUCACUGGGUUUAAAGGGUGCGUAGGUGGGCAGGUAAGUCAGUGGUGAAAUCUCCGGGCUUAACUCGGAAACUGCCAUUGAUACUAUCUGUCUUGAAUACCGUGGAGGUUAGCGGAAUAUGUCAUGUAGCGGUGAAAUGCUUAGAUAUGACAUAGAACACCAAUUGCGAAGGCAGCUGGCUACACGAAUAUU